GUUUAGGUAUCAGCCAAAUAACUUGGGCAAUGACCAGACUGUGCCCCUGAUCUCUCCCUGUGCAGGCCCUGCAGAGUCUCGCUGCUGUGCUGCCCAGCCAAGGCAGAGCAGUUACCCUGUGCCAGAGGAAGGACAACAGUGUUUCCAGUCUCCUACUCUGCACCUCACAAUUUCUGGCCCCAGGACAUUCCCAUGCACGUUACAAGCAUGCUUUGCUCUGCACUGUGAAUGGACUCGGUCAAACAUACGGCUAACAAAUACAGACAGAGGCUCACUUCCACCUUGGCGCUGCCUGCUGAUGUGCAUGUGAUAUCAUUAAAAAAUUCCUGUUCUGCCAGUUUGCUGUUGCAGUCAGAUGUCCUUGCUGAAGACACAAGGGAAGACCACAAGGGGCGGGCAAGUUCUUGUAAAAAAAAGAAUAAACUGAAAAGUUUGGCUAUAAUCUCAGGAAUGGGGAGAAAACAUGAAGCAUUUGAGUAUGACUUCUUUUGGGCAGGGAUUGUCUUUUUGUUUCAUGUUUGUCCAGCACCUAAUACUGUAAGACGCAACUUCGUAUUCACAGCUGCUAGGUUUAUAGGAUGAAAAAAGCAGGUGGAGGAGAACAGAAGGUAGUCUGAUUUCCAAUGGUCUGUGCCUAGGGCUGAAGGCACUUGGAAGCAAAGGCAUGUUUUGGGCAGCCAUCAAGAAAAUCUGGCUUUUAUCAAAAGUUAGAGAACUUCAAGCUACUAAGAAUGACCACAGGUCCCCAGAAGAAAAGAAGGAAAGGUAUAGAGCAGUUGCUCCAGGCCAUGGGGCAAGGGGGAUUUACCACUGCGAGGGCCUAAAGCAUACUGCAGAUUUGACCCAGUACAACUGGUAUGCUGGAGGCCCCUCAUUUGACAGACAUCCUUCAGAGGCUGCUCAUGGCAGGCAGUUCAAGCUAUUUAAUAGGAACUUAAUUUCCAUUUUGUUGUAGUAGUCCUACUGAGGACAAAUGAGCAAAAGGCAAAUCAGGCAAGGUCUUCAGCGGCUGUCCACCCCUGCAGGGUCAGCCGUCUCUGGGGUCAACACGCAAGCGUAAGAGCUUUUAAGGAGGAUGCUUCACCCUGCUCUGCCUGCCGCAAGGCUCAUUAGGGUCAGCGUUGCUCAGAUAUGGCAGGCAUCUAAUACAGAAAGUCUGUGUAAUCUGGCAGGUUGCCUCCCA
rnacentral:lncRNA from 1 species